CCUACGGGUGGCUGCAGUGGGGAAUAUUGGACAAUGGGCGAAAGCCUGAUCCAGCCAUGCCGCGUGUGUGAAGAAGGCCUUCGGGUUGUAAAGUACUUUCAGUGGGGAAGAAAGCCUUGGGGCUAAUACCCUCGAGGAAGGACAUCACCCACAGAAGAAGCACCGGCUAACUCCGUGCCAGCAGCCGCGGUAAUACGGAGGGUGCGAGCGUUAAUCGGAAUUACUGGGCGUAAAGCGCGCGUAGGCGGUCUGAUAAGCCGGUUGUGAAAGCCCCGGGCUCAACCUGGGAACGGCAUCCGGAACUGUCAGGCUAGAGUGCAGGAGAGGAAGGUAGAAUUCCCGGUGUAGCGGUGAAAUGCGUAGAGAUCGGGAGGAAUACCAGUGGCGAAGGCGGCCUUCUGGACUGACACUGACGCUCAGGUGCGAAAGCGUGGGUAGCAAACAGGAUUAGAUACCCGAGUAGUC
rnacentral:rRNA from 1 species